CCUACGGGAGGCAGCAGUGGGGAAUAUUGCGCAAUGGGCGAAAGCCUGACGCAGCGACGCCGCGUGAGGGAUGAAGGUCUUCGGAUCGUAAACCUCUGUCAGCAGGGAAGAACGGUCACUGUGCUAAUCAGCAGUGAAUUGACGGUACCUGAAGAAGAAGCCCCGGCUAACUACGUGCCAGCAGCCGCGGUAAUACGGAGGGGGCAAGCGUUAUCCGGAUUUACUGGGUGUAAAGGGGGCGCAGACGGCGAUGCAAGCCAGGAGUGAAAGCCCGGGGCCCAACCCCGGGACUGCUCUUGGAACGGGGUGGCUGGAGGGCAGGAGGGGCAGGCGGAAUUCCUGGUGUAGCGGUGAAAUGCGUAGAUAUCAGGAGGAACACCGGUGGCGAAGGCGGUCUGCUGGACUGCAACUGACGUUGAGGCCCGAAAGCGUGGGGAGCAAACAGGAUUAGAUACCCGUGUAGUC
rnacentral:rRNA from 1 species